rnacentral:rRNA from 1 species
GACGAACGCUGGCGGCGUGCUUAACACAUGCAAGUCGAACGGAAAGGCCCUGCUUUUGUGGGGUGCUCGAGUGGCGAACGGGUGAGUAACACGUGAGUAACCUGCCCUCGACUUUGGGAUAACUUCAGGAAACUGGGGCUAAUACCGGAUAGGAGCUCCUGCUGCAUGGUGGGGGUUGGAAAGUUUCGGCGGUUGGGGAUGGACUCGCGGCUUAUCAGCUUGUUGGUGGGGUAGUGGCUUACCAAGGCUUUGACGGGUAGCCGGCCUGAGAGGGUGACCGGCCACAUUGGGACUGAGAUACGGCGCAGACUCGUACGGGAGGCAGCAGGGGGGAAUAUUGCACAAUGGGCGGAAGCCUGAUGCAGCAACGCCGCGUGCGGGAUGACGGCCUUCGGGUUGUAAACCGCUUUCGCCUGUGACGAAGCGUGAGUGACGGUAAUGUGUGAAGAAGCACCGGCUAACUACGUG